AGUGAACGCUGGCGGUAGGCCUAACACAUGCAAGUCGAACGGCAGCACAGUAAGAGCUUGCUCUUACGGGUGGCGAGUGGCGGACGGGUGAGGAAUACAUCGGAAUCUACUUUUUCGUGGGGGAUAACGUAGGGAAACUUACGCUAAUACCGCAUACGACCUACGGGUGAAAGCAGGGGAUCUUCGGACCUUGCGCGAUUGAAUGAGCCGAUGUCGGAUUAGCUAGUUGGCGGGGUAAAGGCCCACCAAGGCGACGAUCCGUAGCUGGCCUGAGAGGAUGGUCGGCCACACUGGAACUGAGACACGGUCCAGACUCCUACGGGAGGCAGCAGUGGGGAAUAUUGGACAAUGGGCGCAAGCCUGAUCCAGCCAUACCGCGUGGGUGACGAAGGCCUUCGGGUUGUAAAGCCCUUUUGUUGGGAAAGAAAAGCAGCAGGUUGAUACCCCGCUGUUCUGACGGUACCCAAAGAAUAAGCACCGGCUAACUUCGUG
rnacentral:rRNA from 1 species